CCUACGGGAGGCAGCAGUGGGGAAUAUUGGACAAUGGGCGAAAGCCUGAUCCAGCCAUGCCGCGUGUGUGAAGAAGGCCUUCGGGUUGUAAAGCACUUUCAGUGGGGAAGAAAGCCUUGGGGCUAAUACCCUCGAGGAAGGACAUCACCCACAGAAGAAGCACCGGCUAACUCCGUGCCAGCAGCCGCGGUAAUACGGAGGGUGCGAGCGUUAAUCGGAAUUACUGGGCGUAAAGCGCGCGUAGGCGGUCUGAUAAGCCGGUUGUGAAAGCCCCGGGCUCAACCUGGGAACGGCAUCCGGAACUGUCAGGCUAGAGUGCAGGAGAGGAAGGUAGAAUUCCCGGUGUAGCGGUGAAAUGCGUAGAGAUCGGGAGGAAUACCAGUGGCGAAGGCGGCCUUCUGGACUGACACUGACGCUGAGGCGCGAAAGCGUGGGUAGCAAACAGGAUUAGAUACCCUAGUAGUC
rnacentral:rRNA from 1 species